rnacentral:rRNA from 1 species
CGCUGGCGGCACGCCUAACACAUGCAAGUCGAACGCAGUAGCAAUACUGAGUGGCAAACGGGUGAGUAUAAUGUGGGAAUCUGCCUUUUGGUUUGGAAUAACACGGGGAAACUUGUGCUAAUACCGAAUAAGCCCUUACGGGGAAAGUUUUAAUGCCGAAAGAUGAGCCCGCACUUGAUUAGCUAGUUGGUAAGGUAAAAGCUUACCAAGGCAACGAUCAAUAGCUGUUCUUAGAGGAAGACCAGCCACAUUGGGACUGAGACACGGCCCAGACUCCUACGGGAGGCAGCAGUGGGGAAUCUUGCACAAUGGGGGAAACCCUGAUGCAGCGAUGCCGCGUGAGUGAAGAAGGCCCUUGGGUUGUAAAACUCUUUCGUCGGGGAAGAAAAUGACUGUACCCGAAUAAGAAGGUCCGGCUAACUUCGUGCCAGCAGCCGCGGUAAUACGAAGGGACCUAGCGUAGUUCGGAAUUACUGGGCUUAAAGAGCUCGUAGGUGGUUAAAAAAGUUGAUGGUGAAAUCCCAAGGCUCAACCUUGGAACUGCCAUCAAAACUUUUUAGCUAGAGUGUGAUAGAGGUAAGUGGAAUUUCUAGUGUAGAGGUGAAAUUCGUAGAUAUUAGAAAGAACACCAAAUGCGAAGGCAACUUACUGGGUCACUACUGACACUGAGGAGCGAAAGCAUGGGUAGCGAAGAGGAUUAGAUACCCUCGUAGUCCAUGCCGUAAACGAUGUGUGCUAGACGUUGGAAAUAUAUUUUUCAGUGUCGCAGCG